CGGAGGACAUUAUUGAUUUUGAUUUGUUACCUUCUGUGCUGGCUCCGGCAUGUGCACGUUGGUGACUUUCAUCCAAUACCCAUUUGUGAACCUUUGGCCUCAUGCUGGCUUUGGCUGGCGGAGGAUUUUACACAAACUUGAAUGUAACAGAAAGAUCUUGUUGUGCGCAAGCACUAAUAUACAACUUUCAACAACGGAUCUCUUGGCUCUCGCAUCGAUGAAGAACGCAGCGAAAUGCGAUAAGUAAUGUGAAUUGCAGAAUUCAAUGAAUCAUCGAAUCUUUGAACGCACCUUGCACCCAUUGGUAUUCCAAAGGGUAUGCUCGUUUGAGUGUCAUUGUACUCUCACACUCCAAUUUUGGAGAAGUGGACUUGGGUGUUGCUGCUUUGCAGUGGCUCAUCUUAAAUACGCUAGUGCAACUCAUAGUUGGAUAUAGUACAGCGUGAUAAGUAUCUUCGCUGGCGCCUCAUGAACAGGGUAUCCGAUUGGGAACUCUGUGCUUCUAACAGUCCUGUCUGGGACAAUCUCUGACAACUUGGCCUCAAAUCGAGUAGGACUACCCGCUGAACUUAAUCAUAUCAUAGC
rnacentral:sRNA from 1 species